rnacentral:lncRNA from 1 species
GAGGAACUGGAGGGUUGUUUCCUGGACUGAAACGCUAAUGCUCUUUUUUUUCUUUGGUGAGGAAGAUUGGCCCUGAGCUAACAUCUGUUGCCAGUCCUCUUUUUUUUCCUCCCCAAAGCCCCAGUACAUAAUUGUAAGUCAUUCUAGUUCUUCUGCAAGGGAUGCUGCCACAGCAUGGCUUAAUAAGCAGUCUGCACCCAGGAUCUAAACCAGUGAACCCCUAGCCACCAAAGCAGACCACGCCCCACAGGGCUGCCCCUUUUUUUUUAAUUAAAAAUCUUUUGGAAUUAUGGUAAAAUACACAUAACAUAAAAUUUACAUCUUAACCAUUUUAAAGUAUACGGUUCAGUAGUAUUGAGUAUAUUCACGUUGUAAUGGAUCUCCAGAACGUUUUUAUCUUGUAAAUCUGAAACUCUACCCAUUAAACAGCAAUUCCUCAUUUCCCCCUCCUCCCAACCCCUGGCAACCACCGUUCUACUUUCUGUCUCUGUGAAUCUGACUAUGCUAGGAGCCUAGAUGAGUGGAAUUACACAGUAUUUGUCUUUUUAUGACUGACUUAUUUCACUUAGCAUAGUGUCUUCAAGGUUCAUCUACACUGUAGCAUGAGUCAAAAUUUCUUUCCUUUUUAAGGCCAAAUAAUAUUCCAUUGUAUGGAUAUACCACAUUUUGUUUAUCCAUUCAUCUGUCGAUGGACACUUGGGUUGCUUCCACCUCUUGACUAUUGAAAAUAAUGCUGCUAUGAACAUGGAUGCGCAAAUAUCUCUUCCAGAUGCUACUUUCAAUUUCUGCGAGGUAUAUACCCAGAAGUGGAAUUACUGGACCAUCUGGUAAUUCUGUUUAAUUUUUUCAGGAACUGUGAUACUGCUUUCCACAGUGACUGCACCAUUUUACAUUCUUUCCAUUAAUGCACAAGGGUUCAGUUUCUCUAUAGCCUCACCAAUGCUCUUUAUUUUCUGUUUUCUGAUUACAGCCAUCCUCAUGGAUGUGAGUUGGUAUCUCAUUUUGAUUUCGGUUAGCAUUGUUGUAAUGAUUACUAGUAUUGAACAUCUUCUCAGGUCCUUAUUGGCUGUUUGUUUGUCUUCUUUGGAGAAAUGUCUAUUCAAAUCCUUUGCCCAUUUUUGAAUUGGGUUGUUGUUUUUUUUAUCGCCUAGUUUUAGGAGUUCUCUACAUAUUCUGGAUAUUAAUCCCUUAUAAGACACAUAAUUUGCAAAUAUUUUCCUCCAUUCUGUGGGUUGCCUUUUUAUUCUGUUGAUAGUGUCUUUUGAUGCACAAAGUUUUUAAUUUUCCUGAAGUCCAAUUUGUCUGUUUUUUUUCCUUUGUUGCAUGUGUUUUGGAGUCAUAUCUAAGAGAUCAUUGCCAAAUUCAGUGUCAUGAAGCUCUCUCCUCAUGCUUUCUUGUAAGAGUUUUAUAGUUUCAGCUCUUACAUUUAAGUCUUUGGUCCACUUUGAGUUUUUUUUUUUGAGUAAGGGUCCGGCUUCAUUAAUUUGCAUGUGGACAUCCUGGUUUCCUGGCAGCAUUUGUUGUAAAGACCGUCCUUUCCCCAUUGAAUGGUGUUGACACCCUUGUCAAAAAUCAUUUGACCAGCUAAUGCUCUUUGCAGGUUUUUGUUGAACUGUGCCUUCAUCAUUAUUCCUUAGACGUGUACCCAAAAAUGCCGUCCCCUCACACCAAGGAUGUUGCCGCAAGCUGUCUUCCCCUCUCCUGCUCUGGCCCUGGUGUGCCUGGUCAACCGGCUGCUCCUUGUCCUCGAUCGCAGCUAGUGUCCAAGGGCUGGAUGGUGGGAAGCAGAAACCCAGCUUCACCCCUCACUCAGUUGCUGAACAGCAGGUGGGUUUUGUUCUGUGCCGGACUUGGACCCUGAGGGCUGGAGGCCUGUCCUUUCUGGGGUCCUCCCUGUGCUACUUCCAGAGCCCCCUCCCUGGCCACAGGAGCAGAUGAGGUUGUGGUGCUUGUGCUCCGGGGCGGGGAGAGCCACGAUGCCUCUGGGAGUCACAUCUGGGUCUGUCCCCUCUACCAUUACAGUGCCUCCUGCUUUCCUGCUGAGGUGGCCCCCAGCAGACCCAGCCCACUCUGGGGCUCACACUGCCCUCCAUUUCCUCCAGUGCGUCAGCAGGCAGCCGUUUUUGUGGUAGGUGGGGUCUGACACCUUCCUGCACUUGGCCUCUCAUGUUGCACAGCCCCUGCACUGCCCUCCUGUUUCCAGAGCAGACUUGCUGCCUGUUCCUGGCCAGCGCAUGGGUAGUCGGGGGUCAGGGGAGCUUCUCCCCUGGGGUCUGGGGAGCCUUUCUCAGCCCCUGUGCGUGUGGCUUGGUCUUGCAGUGGCAGAGGCUCACACUUGCCUUGGGGAGAAUGGGAAAAAGCAGCUCCCAGACUGCACUGCCAGUGAGGACGGACUCAUCCUCACACCCCUGGGCCAGUACCAGAUCAUCAACAGGCUGCGCAAGUUUGACAUCAAGUACCAGGGCAGUGCAGAGCUGUAGCCCAUCCAGAGCUAUGAGAUUGCUGGCCUGAUCCGGCUGUCUUCCGCCAUCAACCACAGGAUGAGUGUGGGCGGGAGAGCCGCACCCUCGUCUCCAUGCUGGCUUCCUGUCCUGCCAGCCUAUGGGAGAGGCCAGGUGGAAAGUGCAGACCCCACCCAUGCCCACUCUCCCAUGUCUCUGUCGGUGCUCUAGUUUGCAGGCCAGAUGGCUGCCCUGUAUUCCUGGGCUGACUUCUUCAGCAGCUUCUGUCACUACCACCUCACGGAGCCCAGGCUGCCAGACAGGCACCUGCUGCACCAUGUGUGGUGGGGGCACACGGCUGGUUAUGGCUGGCACCCCAGGCUCAGCCUAUGCUUCCUGGGCAGCUAUCAGACACUGCUGUCACUCCUGCUGGCCUUCUUUGUGGCCUCUGUCCUGCAUCAGGCCCCUGCCCUGCACCCUCCUUCUCAUGCUGGGCUACCGCCUCUACACCAUGGCCAUCACGCUGCUGACCGAGCAGGCAAGCUGCACCAGCUCUGAUCGCAGGCUGACCAUGUCCCUGGGCAAGUCAGUGGGGUGGCCACACAGUCCCUCCCUUGCACCUAGAAGGCCACCUCUGAGCCUGAGCCCAGUCACCUUUGAGCUUCUAGGGGAGAUUUUCCUACAGCUCUGGAACCAUCCAGAAGAACCUGAAAUGAGAAAGGCACGGUGUCAGAGUCAUGAGUCGCCUGGUACUGGGCCCUCCCUCCUUCCCUCAGCUGGAGGCCCCGCAGUGCGAUGGCUCUCAAGGCCUUUCCCUUCUAUAACCAUUUGUGGACUUAGCCGUGUGAAGCUCAGGAGUCAGGGCGUCCCCAGGAGGGCUUUGGCCUCUGCCCUCGCUGUUCUGGAGGUGGGCAGUAUGUGGCGAGUCUCAUCUCCCUAGGUGACACCAGGACAGUAGCUCAGCCUCUGGCUCCAGGGAAGAAGCAAAGACCCUAAAAGAGAUUGCUGAGGAAAUUAGAUGAUGGUUCUCUGAAUCCUAAUUUUAAAGCUACAUUUGGCAAAGCAAGGGUCAUUCUCCUUCAUAUUCUCCCAGCAAUUCCAAAGCUGGGCCGUAUGAUUCCACUUUUGAGGAGAAAAGAUCCUCUAGGAGCACAGAUACUUGGGGGGACCCAAGGUGCUUCACCUCUGGCUCCGUUCCAGCCCUCGAGCCAUGGAGCACGUCACUCAGUGGCCGCCUGGCAUCACCACCUUGUCCAGGACUGGCUCUCGUCUCUGUGGGCGGAGGGCAGGUGGUGGGGCCUCUGAGUUGGGCAUCUGGUCUACAACCAAAGAUGGUCAAAAGCACUGUCUGUAUCUUCAGUAAAAUCAAGUGCUCAAAGACACGGUCCCUUUUGAUAACACCUUAAUGUUUGCACUACACGACAGUUACAUGGUCACUGUCAGAAAUCAUCCCCACCGGGUCUCUAGCACCUCCAUUCAUUGCACAAAUGACGCUCUGGAGAGAACAUCUCAACGGUGAUUUUAAAC